rnacentral:rRNA from 1 species
GACAGAGGGGGCAAGCGUUGCUCGGAAUUCCUGGGCGUAAAGGGCGCGUAGGCGGAAUGGCAAGUCGGUCGUGAAAUCCUUCGGCUCAACCGAAGAACGUCGAUCGAAACUGCCGUUCUUGAGGAUUGCAGAGGAGACUGGAAUUCCGGGUGUAGCGGUGGAAUGCGUAGAGAUCCGGAAGAACACCGGUGGCGAAGGCGGCCUGCUGGGCAGUGGCUGACGCUGAUGCGCGACAGCGUGGGGAGCAAACAGG